rnacentral:rRNA from 1 species
UACGUAGGGUGCAAGCGUUGUCCGGAAUUAUUGGGCGUAAAGAGCUCGUAGGCGGUCUGUCGCGUCGGACGUGAAAUCCCUCGGCUUAACCGGGGAACGGCGUCCGAUACUGGAUGGCUUGAGUUUGGGAGAGGGAUGCGGAAUUCCAGGUGUAGCGGUGAAAUGCGUAGAUAUCUGGAGGAACACCGGUGGCGAAGGCGGCAUCCUGGACCAAAACUGACGCUGAAUAGCGAAAGCCAGGGGAGCAAACGGG